rfam:Populus trichocarpa scaffold_2_contig_154, whole genome shotgun sequence.
UAAUUUGUAUAUGGCAAAUCAUCGUUUAGUUGUGGCAGACCCACACCUAACUGCCUAGAAUCACCUGUUGUCGCAAGCCCACCUACAUCAAUGGUUUGAUCAAAAGUUAUGGCCCUUUUAAGCUGUUAUUUUAGU